rnacentral:tRNA from 1 species
GGGGUUGUGGCUCAGUGGUACAGUGCCUGCAUAGCAUGCACGAGGCACUGGGUUUGAUCCUCAGCACCACCU